rnacentral:rRNA from 1 species
CAGUAGCCGCGGUAAUACGAAGGGUGCAAGCGUUAAACGGAAUUACUGGGCGUAAAGCGUGCGUAGGCGGUGAGUUAAGUCUGCUGUGAAAUCCCCGGGCUCAACCUGGGAAUGGCAGUGGAUACUGGCUCGCUAGAGUGUGUCAGAGGAUGGUGGAAUUCCCGGUGUAGCGGUGAAAUGCGUAGAGAUCGGGAGGAACAUCAGUGGCGAAGGCGGCCAUCUGGGACAACACUGACGCUGAGGCACGAAAGCGUGGGGAGCAAACAGGAUUAGAUACCCGAGUAGUCCCUGUCUCUUAUAC